rnacentral:lncRNA from 1 species
CAUAAGGGCUCUUCUGGCGGUGGCAUCUGCUGGGGCUUCCAGCUGGGCGGGGGCUCCACGCAACCGCUGACCAUCCAGAAGUAGUUUGGGUGCACCUGGCCCUGCACGGCCUCGCUAACCAUCAAUUCCCCAUCCACUGCAAACACACCUUUCCCAUCCUUGGGCUCCAAGCGGAAGGCGACCACGGGCACAUAUACCAAGUAGGGGCAUUCAUACUCCAUAUGCCUGCCCUUCUCCAUGGCCAGGAAGAGGCGCAGCAGCAUGGCACGAGACACUCCCGCCCGCACGUAGAACAGAUGCAUGACGCCAGCUGCACAGCGGCCCAUGGGUGCAGCAAACAUCUCACUGCCCAGGUGCGAGUGCAGCAGUGCCAGGACUAGCACAAAGUCCUCGUCGGGCACCACUGUCCAGUGAGAGGGCACUGGCUCCUCCAGUGGCACAAGGUGUGCAUCUACCGGGCCCUGCUGGACCACAACGGGGGAGGCAGGUGUCUUGGAACCCACUCUUCCUACAGGGAGGUAGGCCAGUCGGCCGCGGUAGGUGCGCAGGGCUGCCAGACGCAGGAAGGUGCCCAGAGUGAAGCGCAUCUCCCCCAGACGCCGAUACUUCUCACUCUCUAGGUCCACAUCAGCAAUGAAGCCCCAGGCCAGGCUGAGCACAGAGAAGAGGCGCAGCCCCGAAGCCGUGUGCAGAGACAGCAGGUUCAUGGGUGACAGCAGCCGGCGGCACAGCAAUAGCGUGCAGUUGGUCAGGAGGUCUUCAUUGGUGACCUGCUCAUAGC